UACGAAGGGGCUAGCGUUGCUCGGAAUUACUGGGCGUAAAGGGCGCGUAGGCGGACAGUUUAGUCAGAGGUGAAAGCCCAGGGCUCAACCCUGGAAUUGCCUUUGAUACUGGCUGUCUUGAGUACGGGAGAGGUGUGUGGAACUCCGAGUGUAGAGGUGAAAUUCGUAGAUAUUCGGAAGAACACCAGUGGCGAAGGCGACACACUGGCCCGUUACUGACGCUGAGGCGCGAAAGCGUGGGGAGCAAACAGG
rnacentral:rRNA from 1 species